UAGACGAUGGCCGAGUGGUUAAGGCGUUAGACUUGAAUUACCGAAGUUCAUGCCAUCUAAUGGAUUCGUCCUCGUAGGUUCAAAUCCUGCUCGUGUCG
rnacentral:tRNA from 1 species